rnacentral:rRNA from 1 species
UACAGAGGGUGCAAGCGUUGUUCGGAAUUAUUGGGCGUAAAGCGCGUGUAGGCGGCCAAAUAAGUCGGGUGUGAAAGCCCUCAGCUUAACUGAGGAAGUGCGCCCGAAACUGUAUGGCUUGAGUACCGGAGAGGAUGGCGGAAUUCCCCAAGUAGAGGUGAAAUUCGUAGAUAUGGGGAGGAACACCGGUGGCGAAGGCGGCCAUCUGGACGGAUACUGACGCUGAGACGCGAAAGCGUGGGUAGCAAACAGG